GUAACUUACAUUCACUGAAAACUCAUUUCAGUCUAUUACUGACAAGUGGAGCUUCAGAUGAGCAAUUAAACUAAUAGCAGCUCGGAAAUGUUCCUGGAACGGCCGUGUUCACGCUAAAUUAACAGCCUCGUUUUAUACCAACAGGUUGUACCGCAGAACUGGUUUAUUUUCAGUCCCGGGCAGCGUGGCGUGUUCAUUACGGUGCAUCUGACACCAACGUGUUUCCUUUACCGUCUGUUUCAUUUGCUGCUGCUUCAGAUCCGCGGCUCAGUUCAUCUUCCUCACCGCAGUGACGGGCAAAUCUGGAAUUCAUUCUGCUAACUGCACGCUUGCCUUUCGGAUUUUAACCGAUUUCUCUUGGCCGUGCUCACUGCUCUUGGCCAUUUGCUUCGCACCCAGCGCGUGGGGUCGGCUGCAACGCUGGAGGCGCCGACCUGAGCGGGUUUUGCUGUGAGCAGCUUUUAUAACAUAGAUCAGUCAGAGGAAAGAUGGGAAGAGACGUCGCUCUCAAGCAGCAAAAAUUGCUGCUGAGAAAGUGUUUGGGAAUAUGGUUUAGUCUCUAUGGAUAAGAUGGACAGAAAAAAUCAGGAACAUGCGAAUUAUUUCUGCAAAUGUUGGACGUGCGGAAAGUGAAACACCCGGAUGAUGCUCAAGGGGUUGUGGAGCCUCAGCAAAGCUUCAGCUUAGGCCAGGCUUAAUACAAGAGCUGUGCUACGGCCAAAUGCGUAAAGCUGUCUUUAUACCCGAUUCUUUUGAAUUUAGAAAGAAAAGAAAUAUAAACUUGCUUCCAAUUAAGCUUGUGUUUAAAAGUUCUGUUGCUUGGCUGCUAAAGUUUUCUUUGUUUAACAAAAGAUUUCUAAGGAUCCCAAAGGGAGAGGGAAUCGGAAUUCAUCCAGCUCUUGAGGGCAAAUAAAGGGACGGUGAGUGCGCCUGGGAUUAAAAGGAGGAAUCAGAGAAAGGCAGGUGAAUAUAGAUUUAAAAUCCAUUGCUCAACUCUGAUUUCACAAAUCCUGCGGUCAAUCCCCAGCCUGUUACAGCAUCUUACACAAACCUAUGGGAAUGACAAAUUAUUCAAGGGGCAAAAAUCACUAAAUGUUUAGAAUUACAUCAGUGACAUUAACUUGGGGCAAAUGGAGUGGAGGAAGCAGAACCCAUUAGCGUCGGGUUUGACAAACACAUUAUUGGGAGAUAAAACGACUUCCAUGUGUUGUUUGUCAGAUGUCAGGAGGAAGGAUAUGUAUUUCCUAGUAAAAUCAAAAAUAAUGGAGUCAGAAAGCUCAGAGGCUACAGACACAAAAAAUAAAUCAAUACUAACUCAUUGCGCGGCGAGUCCUUUUACCGCGUUACGGUGAAGAAACGAACUGAAUCGUCUGUUAGGGCUUGUUGAGGCUGCUUUUAUGAAAAGGCGAUUCAGCAGAGGCCGCGGUCACCCCGGCAGCAGCUCCUGCGCCCCAGUUCUGCCCCUCCACGGGAAACUCAGUCUAUGGGAGAACGUGGAGCUCGUGCCAUUUUAUAGCAAUUAAGGAUUUUUGCCCCCGUUAGCCCAGGGAGGGAUUUAACAACAUCAGAGAUGAUUCCGUAUUUUACACUGCCAGGCUAUAUUCACAUCUAUCUACAUCUUCCCACACAUACAUAUAUAUACAUACACACAUCCUCUACAGCUGCUGUUUGCGUACUGAAUUAGUCCAUGUAAGCAGUAAUUUUAAAUGUCGCUUUAGGAAUAAAAUAUCUAUUGAUCGUUUAGAUGCCAUCCAAAAAUUUGACACGCACACUAAUUAGAAACACCAGAGAAUGGGGUAAACGCAAAAGUAACUCGCCUGCAAGUUCCAUGUAAAAUAGUCCCAUUUCUUAUUGCUGAAGACAAAGCUGCUGCAGAAGCCCGCAAAGAAUUGAACACGCGUUGAAACUAAAGCAUUAAAUGACUGAUAAUAUCUGGGGAAUGACCCAUUAAAUAAAAACGUAUUUUAAAUAUUUCUUGCAUAAUCUUUAGGCGUUAAUUUGUAAUUCUUACAGGUUUCAUUGCUGAUCUAUAAUCCCGACCGUGAAAAUGAACCCGUGCCUUUACCUAAGGAGUUUUCUUUCAAGCAGGUCUAACUUAAAUAUCAAAGCAUUGGCAUAAUAAACCUACAAUAUUCCUCAGAAUAUAUGUUUCUUCGUAUCUUGCUAAUUAUAUUUAAAGAGGUAUAGCUGGUUAAUGUAAUUGACCCACUUACAAUAUAAAACAUUUUAAGUAAUGUGCUUUGAAAUACCUGCCAAAAAAGUUGCUAUUUUUUCUGCUCUUUUGUUCAUGAGUUGAGGAUUAAAAGAAGAAAACACAAAUAGAUACCAGGUUAAAGAAACCAACUGAAAAGGAAAACAUUGUCCCCUUCAUCCCAUUUUAGGAUGAGCUCAGGUGGUCCUGUGGGGUUUUUAUCUGGACUGAGACCUCCAAAGAAAGAAGUUUCGCUGCCAAAGUCACCAGAAGGAUGAAACACCCUCCCGAGUGCGCAGCUGUGGCCAGAGGAAGUUCGGAUUGUGCAUCUGUAAUUGUGAAACACACGUGUUCAUAACCCCCAACAAGAGCGUCACACGACCAGUGUCCGUAUUUCCGUCUUUCUCCAGCACCAAAUUGCAACAGUGGAAAUAAAUCAGCCGAAAAGAAGAUUAACUUGUGUUAUUGGAAAUGCCGUCGUCUCAGGAAUCUGCUCCAGGUGACACCUCGGCCCGGAGGAGCGUUACGGUAGCAGGACAAAGCUUUCUCUAAAUCAUUUCUUUCUGCACAAACUGAAGAACGCGGGUAUUUCCAGCCCAGCAACUGGAAUCGGAGAGCACACAGAAAUGUUGCAGUGCUUACCGGGAAGGCAUCGCUAAUCAAUCCAGCACCGGGCCAGCGCACGGGAGGAACGGAAAACGCAGAUUCGGGGGCGCCGCUCCACAUCGAUUCACCCACCCACGGAUGGCCAAAGAACAAACCCUAUUUAGCUGCAUUCAGAAGAACAAACACCUUCUUUUCCUUGUUAUCUGCCUCUGUGCUUGUCCAGCGCUGCCCCAGCUCCCCCGCAAGACGCGUUUUAAAUGGAAAAUUUGAAACUACUAUUCUGCACGGUACGGUAAGAGAAACGACCCAAAAGGUUCACAAUCCAGCCUGUCGGAAUAAGAAUGUGCUUUACUUCCACUCUUGCUAUUCCCCAUUUCAGCCGCUUUCAAUCUGGCCCGCAGUGAAAAUCGAGCUGGACAGGAAAAUGCCCUGCAGAUUUUGAUGUCGUUGUUCAGACGGCCCCGAAUGGAAACAAGUAAAUGACAACAAAGCGAGAAAAACACCCCUCCAUUGAAAAUACUCCUGUAACAGUAGUGAUUUUUUAUUAAUUAUUAUCAUUAUUAAUAGACCUAAUUUCAUGCAGCAAAUUAGCAUAGCUCCAAUGGAAGUGCAAAUGCAAUCAAACUGAACAAUUCAAAUGAGGUGGAGGGAGCCUUUUUCUUCCUUUCUUUUGCUUUUUUGUCGCACGCACACAAAAAGAAUCAUUUUGGUGUGUGUCCUUCAAGCGGCUACAGGGACUAUGGUAAUUAAACCAUUUAGAGCAGCACGAGCCCCCGGUCUCUAAUCUGGAGCUCAGGUCAGCUGUCUGUAGAUUCUAAUUUGUCCUCGAUUUGUAUUCAUGCUGCAUAUUUCAGAGCGAAGCAGCGGGAGGGGCCAUUGCUGCCUUGGAGGUCAAAUCAUUUGAUUUCCGCGCAGAUUACACGGAACGUCCGACAUCGGAUCUCACACCCGAUCUGGUGACAAAAUGACGAUAAAGGUAACGCGGAUGGGGUGGGGGAAUUACUGGCUUUCAGGGGCUGGUUUGCAAACGGCAGCUCGACUCCUUCCAGGAAAGGUCAAAACUCCCUUUGGGAGACUUCCAACUUCAAACCAUCAAACGGUGAAUAUUGGAGAAUUCGAUUUAAAAAAAAAAAUUCAAAAUUUCAAAUUUUUGGAGGAAAAACUAUAUCUAAAAAAAUACCUUUGGACAAUGGUUAACAACGAUUUAGUCAUUAAUCCACAGAUAUUUUAGCUAAACACUCUUGUUUGAAGAUGAACAGAUAGGAUAAGGUUCAGCAUACAACAGCAGCCAAAGCACAGGGUGGCUUUUACAACUGGACAUUCCUCACAAUUUCAUUAUUAACAUUUUAACCAGAAGGGCUUGGGGGAGCAGGCAAAGAAUCACUGUGAACAAUUAAACACAUAAUAAAAUGGUUGUGUGAAUUAAAAAAAAAACAAGAAAACAAUGGAUUUUGCACUUUUUUCCUCACUUUUGCCAUAGAAGCCAAUCCAGUGAGAAUUCAAUGAUCCAAAAUAUCCAAAAUCGUUCUCUACUUAACCAAAACUAGAAAACAAAAGCUCAAUCAGCACUCGCUACGCAAUUGAACAAGCCUAUUUGUUUCCCGGUGAAAAUGAACCAUUUUGUUCUAAAUUGAUAGCUAAUUCCUCAGACCAAUUGGUGGAUUUCAUGUAACAAGCUUCUCUUUGGGAAACGUGUUCUAUUCAUUUCCAAACACCGUAACAGCCUCACGACUCCUUCAAAGACACCACAGGACAGUUGUUAUGGUGCUUAUUAAUAAAUGGAAAGAAGUUCCCAUUGUUCCCGAUUUCCCUUUGCCUUUCCAUCGUCACCCUUUAUUAUCACAAAGCAAUUCCUAGAAUAUGAGAUAUAAUAAUAAUUAAACCCAAGAAGUAUUAGUGCACAUUUGUGGCAGAUGAGCCCCAGCCCCAGCUCUGAGCUCGUCUCUGCGAUUUCUCCAGCAAAUCUCCCGUUCUGGUUUAAACGUGGUGGGUGGGAACCAGAGAAGA